CAAAUUAUGAAAUAGCGAUCACAACAUGAAAGAACAAACAAAAAUAAAUAAAUAAAUAAUUGGGAAGUCUUGAUAACGGGUUGGGGUGGUGAUUUGCCACCGACAAAGGGAUGAGGGAUUUUACAAAUUUGAGGAAGCAAGUGUGGUGAGGAGGUGUGUGUUUUUGGUGUUGUAUAUGUGUCGCAUUCAUUCUUUCAUUUUACUGAUUUGUUUUUAAUUUUUAAUUUUGUUUUAUAAUUUUGAAUUGAUAAAAGGGUGUUUUUCAAACAAAUCCACUAAAAAAAUACAGCUUAUUAGCGUCUAUCCAACAUGGCCUGAAUCUCUUGCACAAACGUGCCAUGUCACAGAUUCCGCCCGACAUGUCAUCUUAUCCGUCAAUUAGUCUGCAGAAUAUGGUUUUCUGGUAAUGGAUGGGGUUGCUGUUUCUAAAGUUCAGUGACUAACCACGACGUUUUGAAAGUUCAGUGACCUGGUGAAACUUCCGGUAAAAUUCAAUGAUGAAUGAGGUAAUUAACCCAAUAUAUUGUGACAAUGUUUAACCUUUUCACAGAAAGGUAUGAGAUGACAGAGAGGGAAAGACAAAAGGCAAACAAGAUACAACCAUCAAUGGAUAUAAUAAACAGGGAAGAUAGGCAAUCUUCUCUGCAACAUCUCUCACUUUUCACUGCCUGGAUUGGAAUUCUUAGUAAUAUAUAACAGUGUACAAAAAUUACAGAGUCAAUGCCAUAAAAGGAUAAAUCAACACAUUCCAUGUAGAAAAAUUCAUUAUCUAUUAAACACUUUGAUCAUUAAUUCCAAAAAUUGGCCGAGGUUGCAGUGAAUAAUACAGGAUCAGUUGAAAUAUAAAGAAGUUGACCAUGAUUAAUUUGGACUAUAUCACCCGGGCUAGUGCUUUGGUGGUCUUCGAGAAGAAGAUUUUAUCAAUGUUAACAUGGAAUAUGAUAAAAAUAAUUUACGCCGGGGAAUAGAAUUUUCCAGCCAUUACGAAAACAAAAUUCUGCAUAUCCUAUAAAGAUUUGGAGAAUUAUUAUGGAAGUGAUGCAGCUGGGAAUGAUUUGAUGCCUGCAUUUGAGGGCUAGUGAAUGAAUCUUCUAAGCAAAAUUUUGGAUUAACCUCAGAAGCCCUAAAUUUCUAUGUUCUCCCACAGCUUUCUUGAACCUCUUAUGUUUUUGAAAUGAAAAACAUCAGUAGAAGUUCAAGAAAGCUGUGGAAAAGCAUGGAAGGACUUGCAUCUCUCUCUCUCUCUCUCUCUCUCUCUCUCUCUCUCUCUCUCUGUACGUACAUUAUACAUACAUAUGCAGAAACCACGCGUCAUGCGUGCAUAGAUCUGAGGUUUUUUCCAAAAUCUUGAACUGAAAGAGUAUAUAUAACCAAAAAGAGAGUAAAAUUAGAAGUCGAAAUCCAGUUGAAGAAAAAAAUCUAGAGGAUGAAAGAAAAGAAAAUGAAAUCUCACAAUGUGUCCAUGUCCACACAAAUUUUUAUGGACCACUCUUAACAUACAUACUUUAUGUUUCGUAUCAAUCACCACUUUAUAGAGG
rnacentral:lncRNA from 1 species